CAAAACAUGUGAUGUGGCAAAAACUGUGAUAUUUACGUGUAAGCGUGUUGCUUCACAGCUAUAUAUAUAUAUAUAUAUAUAUAUAUAUAUAUAUAUAUAUAUAUAUAUAUAUAUAUAUAUAUAUAUAUAUAUAUAUAUAAUACAUCGUUUAAACUCAUCUUUAUUUUUUGGACUUUGAUAAUUUAUUUUAUUUAUUUUGGUCAAGAUUCUUUAUCCUUUAGAAAAUUCAUUUGAUCUUUUAUGUUCCAAAAAGGAAUCAAAAUGAUCAUUCCGUGAGUGCAAAAUGAUCCUCCCCCUUCCGUUGCAAGUGCCAUCGUUUCAGACACUUAGCCUGUGCUGUUCGGGUGUUUGAUUUUGCAGCUGGCGUUGUACCCUUUGUUGUCGCUGAGGCUUCUGUUUUCCCCAACCUGUGGUCAGUUAGGGUUUUCAUAGCUUUUGCUUUCGCCCACCGUGUCGGUUCCUAGUCCUCGCUGGAGGGUAAUUUGAUUGGGGAGGUGAGUUUAUUUUACGGGUUGUUGUGUUACCUAUACAUGGCGCUGGUGCCAGGGGGAAUUCAAUUUGCGGUGGUUGGACUCUGUAGUGGUCCGAUGCUGCAUAGUUUAUUCUGUAAUUGGGAUAUCAAAGACAUCAAAAGGGUACAAUUAUGGACUUUUUUUAUCCAAUUAUACCUUUUGAUUUUUUUAUAUACCCAACUAUUCCUCUCCCCAAAUUAUUAACAUAAUUAUCCCUCUUUACAAUUCAGUGUGAAUUCUGACCUUCCAGUAGUCCUGUUUCUACUUUUGCAAACCCCAGUUUAGAAUUUGUGAGCCCCAAACGUGAAUACUAAAAGGUUUCGGAUUUACCUUUUCUUUUUUGCACGCUCCCUUUUACUAACUUUGUGUGCUUUCACACCUUUUUUUACUUUUUGCAUACCCUCAUUUCGAAUUCGGUACCCCAAACCCAAAUUUUGAACAUUUUUUUGUUUUGAUUAUUCUGAUUUUGUAAAUUUUUAAGUAAUUAGUAAUAUAUUUAAUUAUUUUAUUUCAAUAAUAUAAUUUUUAAUACAUAAUGAUGUAGCUAAUUAACUAAUUGUAAAUAAUUAUUAAUAAUUACUAAUUUUUUUAAAAAAAUUAUGACAACGGACUACUAAAUAAUAUUAUGACUAGAUAGACAGAAUAAAUGAUUAGUAUUUUGUGAUAAUCCAUAGACACAAACAAGAACAACAUAAGUUAUCAAACAUUUUAAUAACAAUUUAAUUGUGUAUUUUGCUUUUAUUUUUAGCAACUAGUGUAUUAACAAAUUAUUGUCAGUAUUUUGUAUUUAUGUAAUUUACUUAUGUUAAUAUGUUAAUUUUUCGUCAUUCAAAAUUUAUUGGCCAAGUUUCAUAGCUCCUAUUUGAACCAUAUCCAGGAAAAAAAAUGACCUUUGCUUCAAAAUUUUAGUCCAUGAGGAUAAUUUUUGGCACUUGUAUGGUUAUGUGUAUUAGUUAUUUUGGUUCAAAUAAUGAUUCAUUCUCAUUGUUCAUAUCGAUGAAGCCAAUAACAGAACUCCCAGGACUUCAAUCGGCCUAAAAAUGCAUAAAAAUUGCAAAAAACAAGAAAAAUCACCUUUACUUCAAAAUUUCAUUUCAUGAGGGCAACUUUUGGCACUUGUAUAGUUAUGCGUAUCAGUUAUUUUGGUUCAAAUAACGAUUCAUUCUCAUAGUUUUUAUGUUGAUGAACUCAAUAAUAGAACUCUCAGGACUCCAAUUGGCCUAAAAAUGCAUAAAAAGUGCCCAAAACAAGAAAAAAAACACCUUUGCUUCCUCAUUUGUGGCAAAAAAUAAUGAGCGGUUGAGAUAGCACUGACGAUAAUGAAUGAUCGAUAAUGCAUUGAUGUGAACAAGAUUUCUGUUCUUUCAUCGAGAAUCCUAUAGAACUUCGUAUUUUGUGACAAAAAAGUAGUGGCCAAGAUAACACUGAUGACAAUCAACAACCCAUAAUGCAUUGAUGUGAAUGAGGUUACAGUUCAUCUGUCAGGAAUCCUCUAGAGCUUCACCUUUUUUGGCAAAAAAAAGAGCGAUCGAGAUAGCACCGAUGACAAUCAAUGACCCAUAAUGCAUUGAUGUGAACGAGAUCACUCUUCACUCACCAAGAAUCUUACAAAGCUUCGAUUUUUGUGCCACAAUAGAUGAACGACUGAGAUGACAAUGGAUGAAAAUGGCCGACAACAUAUUUCAUUUAAUCCAUGCUAUCUCUUUUAUUUAAAUCUCGACUCAUUUAUUUGUAUAAAUAUGGGUAAUGUAUUAAUAUAAAUUUCAAUAUCUCAUAAUCUUCAAACCAUUUAUUUUUCUUACAAAGUCUCAUUCAUCAUGGACAAUAAUCCGUGAAAAUUUCUUGACAUUGAUGACUUAGACCUCCUAUUCUUUUUCGCCCUUCUAACCCAAAUCUGUCAUCCUACAGUUCAAGAGUACUUAUUCCUGGUCUCGUAGGGGUCAUACAG
rnacentral:lncRNA from 1 species